UUAGUCGAUUAAUUCUACAAG
ensembl:piRNA 21ur-595 ncRNA